AUUGAACGCUGGCGGCAUGCCUAACACAUGCAAGUCGAACGGCAGCACGGGGGCAACCCUGGUGGCGAGUGGCGGACGGGUGAGGAAUACAUAGGAAUCUGCCCAGUCGUGGGGGAUAACGUAGGGAAACUUACGCUAAUACCGCAUACGACGGAGACGUGAAAGUGGGGGACCGCAAGGCCUCACGCGAUUGGAUGAGCCUAUGUCCGAUUAGCUAGUUGGCGGGGUAAGAGCCCACCAAGGCGACGAUCGGUAGCUGGUCUGAGAGGAUGAUCAGCCACACUGGAACUGAGACACGGUCCAGACUCCUACGGGAGGCAGCAGUGGGGAAUAUUGGACAAUGGGCGCAAGCCUGAUCCAGCAAUGCCGCGUGGGUGAAGAAGGCCUUCGGGUUGUAAAGCCCUUUUGUACGGGAAGAAAAGCUUCGGAUUAAUACUUCGAGGUCAUGACGGUACCGUAAGAAUAAGCACCGGCUAACUUCGUGCCAGCCGCCGCGGUAAGAC
rnacentral:rRNA from 1 species